rnacentral:rRNA from 1 species
CAGUCGCCACGGUAAUACGGAGGGGGCUAGCGUUGCUCGGAAUUACUGGGCGUAAAGCGCACGUAGGCGGCUUGGUAAGUUAGAGGUGAAAGCCCGGAGCUCAACUCCGGAAUUGCCUUUAAGACUGCCGAGCUAGCAGGUGAGAGAGGUAAGUGGAAUUCCGAGUGUAGAGGUGAAAUUCGUAGAUAUUCGGAAGAACACCAGUGGCGAAGGCGGCUUACUGGCUCAUACUGGACGCUGAGGUGCGAAAGCGUGGGGAGCAAACAGGAUUAGAUACCCGAGUAGUCCCUGUCUCUUAUAA